CAGUACCACGGUAAUACAGAGGGUGCGAGCGUUAAUCGGAUUUACUGGGCGUAAAGCGUGCGUAGGCGGCUUCUUAAGUCGGAUGUGAAAUCCCUGAGCUUAACUUAGGAAUUGCAUUCGAUACUGGGAAGCUAGAGUAUGGGAGAGGAUGGUAGAAUUCCAGGUGUAGCGGUGAAAUGCGUAGAGAUCUGGAGGAAUACCGAUGGCGAAGGCAGCCAUCUGGCCUAAUACUGACGCUGAGGUACGAAAGCAUGGGGAGCAAACAGGAUUAGAUACCCCAGUAGUCCCUGUCUCUUAUACA
rnacentral:rRNA from 1 species